rnacentral:rRNA from 1 species
ACGAAUGUCUGCCCUAUCAACCCUCUAUAAUAGUUGACACGACUACCAUGGUUGUAACGGGUAACGGAGAAUCAGGGUUCGAUUCCGGAGAGGGAGCCUGAGAAACGGCUACCACAUCCAAGGAAGGCAGCAGGCGCGCAAAUUACCCACUCCCGGCACGGGGAGGCAGUGACGAAAAACAACAAUGCUGGGCUUCAAGGCUUGUAAUCGGAAUUAGUACACACACGCUAGUUUAACGAGGAUCGAGCGGAGGACAAGUCUGAUGACAGCAACUACGGUAAUUCCAGCUCCACGAGCAUGUACGUACAUUGCUGCAGUUGGAAAGCUCGUAGUUGGAUCUCGGGCCUGCGACCGGUUGUCCGCUCGAUACGGGAGUGCACUCCCAAGUCCUAUCGACGUCUGCUUAAAAAUUCCUUAGUUCAUGAAACCGGGUUCUACGGAAUGCCAGAUCUAUUACUCUGAAAAAAUUAGAAUGAUUACCGCAACCCGUUUGGGUCAGGCUACUGUUGCAUGGAAUAAUAGAAUAGGACCUCGGAUCUGUUUUGUUGGUUUUCGGACUCUAGGUAAGGAUUAAGAGUCACAGACCUGUUCAUUGCUAUUGCGCGGCUAGAGGUGAACGCCUUGGAUCGCCUCUAGAAGAACAUCUGCGAAAGCAUUUGCCAAGGAUGUUUUCAUUAAUCAAGAACGAAAGUCAGAGGUUCGAAGACGAUCCGUUAUCGGAAUUAACCAGACCAUAAUCGCUGCCAACUAACUAACGGCCGGCCAUCACCCCACCCACCGCAAGAAAGAGCUCUCAGUCUGUCUAAGUCUAUCGGUUCCUGGGGAAGUAUGGUUUCAAAGCUGAAACUUAAAGCCAGUAACGGCGAGACGCCAGCUUGCAUCGUUUAUGUCCCUCCCUUUGACUCAACGCCCGUCGCAACUACCGAUUGAACGGUUCUGAUCGUCUUCGAACC